AAAAAAAAAAAACCUUGAGGGAUAUCUCAAUUGGUCAGAUCUUAGAUUUGCUUUCCAAUGAUCACGAGUUCGAGUCUCCUCAUGAUCACUAGAGGCUUACAUGGUCGUUAUUUUCAAAACCCGUGGAAUUAGUCGAGGUGAAUGCAAGCUGGCCCGAACACUCACGUUAAUAAAAAAAUAAAAAAAAAAUAUUUAAACGUUUAAUUUUGACACAAAGAUGAUACUGGCACAAUGAAGAAUAAAUGCAGGAAGGAGAUGAGUCAUUGACUUGGCUGUAAAAGGGACAAUAGAACUUUUGUUCAGUCUGUUUCAUGUACCCUCAAAAAAAUUUACAGCCAAGUUAUCAUGUCUAGUCACAUCUUCUCUAGAUUUAAAGCAUAAUUCAAUCCAUUUAUCAAAAUUUAAUUUAUAAAUUUCCACAAUUAAUGCAUAUUAAAAAAAAAUCUACGGAAUUUGCAACUUAAUUUUAAUUAAGAUCAAUAAACCUUACUUAACGUAAAAGAGUCUCAAAAAAAUCAAUUUGAAAAUUCCAUGGAAACCUAACCGGCUAGAAUGGUACUCUUUUUUAGGUUAAUUGAGCACUAAUAAUCAAAUAUUAAAAAAUUAUGAGUGUCAAAUUAUAUAUAUAAAAUCACCAUAUAUUUUUGUGAUUUUCAAUUGUAAAUUAGUAUGAAGAUUUACUUUUAGGUUAUUUUGACUGAGGUGAAAUUUUCAAAUUUUAAUCAAUUUUAAAAUAUUAUAACAACAUCAAUAAAACAUUUUUUAAUUACAGUAAAAUAAACACGAAUCAUUUGAAAAACCUAUCACAUGCCAUCAUUAUAUACAAGCGUGUUUGAGAGUGUAAUUGCGGUUGUUUUUUAAAAUGUUUUUCACUCGAAAAUACAUCAAAAUAAUAUUUUUUUUAUUUUUUAAAAAUUAUUUUUGACAUCAACACAUCAAAAUAAUCUGAAAACAUAAAAAAAAUAUUAAUUUAAAGUAAAGAAAAAAAUAAAGCAAAAACAAACAGGUAUUUUUUUAUUUAUAUUUAUUUACGUGUUUACACAAAUAAUUAAAACUUAAAAUUAAAAAAUAUUAUAAUUAGUAAAAUAAAAUUAACCACAGUAUUUGAAAUUUGAUGAUUGAAAGAAUUAAAGGUACAACACCAUCCCACUAUCCUCGAUGGAUGAAAUUAAAUUUUUUUAUAAUAAGAUCCAAUUUGAAAUUUAAACAAAGUGCAUGUAUGGACAAAUAGGAGGACAAAAAUACACUCACCACUCCCCAUAUAUCUUUCCCAUUUCAUAAUAAAAAAACAAUACCCAAUAAUCACAAAUAAAAUUAAAAUAAAAGGUGGUUAAUAAAUUUCAUCCUAAGUAGGACCACUCCAUUAGCAACUGUUAAUUGUCCACUAAUUAUUAAUCAGUUACUUAAAAUAACCGUAUAUCCUUAUCUACUUACUCUUCUAUAACCGUAUAAUUAUACGUAUACACCAUACCACCUUCCCCUCUCUUUUAAGCAUACAGCGUGGGUGUAGAGUGAAUGACCUGGAAGGAAGGAAAUAAAAUGGAUUGGAGUCUUCAGCCUUUGGAAUCCUAAAACAUAAAAAAUACACUACAAAAUAAUUUUAUUUUUAUUUUUAGAGAAUAAUAAUCCGAACAGAGAUCGAUCUUACUCUUUCGGGUCGGAUCCUGCGGUUCACUGUGCCCGGUCUUAUCUCAGAUCCUUCAUAGCCAUUGAUAAAUCUGUCACUAUCUUCUACUUGAUUGAUGAAGUUUUGAUUUUCGCUGCACGCGUUUCGAGGUAAGGAGGUUAUCGGGAGUUUUGUUGUUUUUUUUCUGUUUGGUUGCUGAGAAAACUUUUUCAUGUUAGUCUUUCUCUCUCUCACUGUAGAGUUAGAUUUGAGUGGUUAGUGAACUUGUUUGGUACUUAACGGAGUAUUAGUUUUUGUUUGCUUUUUUUUUUUUUUUGGCUAUGAGCAGAUCAGUGUUAAAAGGAGGGAUUUGAGACUUGGAAAUGCUGACAUUCUUUUAACUAAUUUGUUGAGCAAUAUUGGAUUUUGUACUGAUUUGAUUCUGAUUUUCUUGAGGAUUAGAAAUUCAUUUGUUUAAGUCUUGUUUGGUUGCUGAGAAAGUGGGGGAGGGAAAAAUGGUCGGGAUUAGUUAAAUUGUUAUAGAUUGAAUUGAGUUAACUAGGUUACUUAGCCAUCCUUUUUCUUUGUAAUCUAGUGUUUUGUAAACACAGUUUGUUAGACAUUUUUCUGGAAAUUGUGCUGGUUAAUGAGUGCAAUUUUGGGUUUUGAAGCACAAUGAAAUUUGUGAGGGGCUUGUUUCUGUGUAGACAACGAAGGAGGGUGAGAUUGAGGAUUGUUUUCGAUGUUUAAUAGCUUUGGGUUUGUAAUUAUGACUCGGUUAUUAUAUGGAAACAGAGAAACAGUUUUUGCAGUCUAAUUGUUAGUGCUCAGUGUAUGCUUUGUGUUUUGUCUAAUCAUCUUUUAGUUGCUUAAGUUUGUUUUAUUUAUUUAACUAUUCUUCCUUGCAGAGUGUGAUGGAUUCUGAUUAUCAUCUUUUCCCUGAUGAUGGGCUUGAGACUGUCCAUCAAAAUGGUGUUCAUGAGCAAAGUGCUGCUGCUAGAGAGGAUGGUGUUGUUUCGAAUAAUUUAAGUGGGAGCAUGGGAAACACUUUUGAGGUUGAUGAUUGUACUAACGAUAAUCUGUCCACCAGGGAAGUCGAGGGUGAAUUAAAGGUAUAUGUGGGAAUCAAUGGAUUUUCUGUUUCUAAGGUAUGGAGAUGUUUGGCUCUGUGUGUUUUGUACAACGGCUAAAACUAAGCCUGAUUUAGACUUGGUGUUUUUAUCACAUAGGAAGGAGAAGCCAAAGUGAAAGAUGCUGAUAAUUCAGAGAAAGCUAGAUCACAGAAGGGUUCAGGAAAGGGUGGUAAUGCAAAGCCCUCAAACCCAAAAAAUGUGUCAGCCACUCAGGUGAAGGGUAAGGAUGGAAGAGAUGCUGUGGCUCGAACUGCUGUUUCAAAUGGCUCUGUUGCUGUAAAUUCACAAUUGAAACAGUCUUUGAAAAGUAACUCAUUCAACGAGAGGCAGGGUCAGGCAUCCAAGGUAUGGUCGACAAUGCUUUUUGCCUUCGGACCAUGUGUUGGUCAUUAUCUUCACAUUUGCUAAUCAUUUUUCUGCUCUUGUCUGCUACAGCAAUCUGGGAAGUCUGAUGCAGUGCUGUCUGCUGGCCUUGUGUAUGUAUUGCUUGUAUUUUUUUUAUUUGUCACAUUUUCUUUUUCUUAUUCUUUUUUUACCUUAAUGCCCUGGACUUGCAUGUCAGUCAUUACUAAUUGUUAACUGGUUAAAUUUGAUCCAGAAUGUGUCUGUCUGAAUUUUUAUAUCACAUAUAUCCACAAUGCUUGUUUCUCGAGCCAUUUGUUAAUGGUGAUUUUGCUAUAUACAGGGAGAAGGCGAAACCUUUGAAGAAAGGGCCUGUUGUGAAAGCUGAAGGAGAAACAGAAUCUACUUCGUAUCCUUUUUUCUUUGAAUGUCGUUUCUUUUUCUGAGCAGAACUAGUGUGAUCUUCAGCUUUAUGUCCAUAGGCUACCCUUAUCUGUGGAGUGCACAUGUUUUUCCUUAAUUUCAUUGUAGAAGUCCCACUGCAGAAGAUGCCAAAUCUCGCAAGUUUGGUACACUUCCGAAUUAUGGUUUCAGCUUUAAGUGUGAUGAACGAGCUGAGAAAAGAAAGGAGGUUAGUUUUGCACUUGAACCUUCUUUUUUCUUCAUUUAAGCUUCCCUGCAGCAAUUAUGGUGCAAACAUAAUAUCUUUAAUGUUAUGUUGUUCAGUUCUACACUAAGCUUGAGGAAAAGAUUCAUGCAAAGGAAGUGGAAAAGAGUACCUUGCAAGCUAAGUCCAAGGUACAGAAAUGUUUAUGAUUUCUAUGGACUGUAAUUUCUAUUUGAAUUUGUUUCUCGUCAUGGCAAUCAUUCAGUUCUCUCACAGGAAACCCAAGAAGCUGAGAUUAAGUUGUUUAGGAAAAGUCUGGCUUUUAAAGCAACCCCUAUGCCCAGCUUUUAUCAGGAGCCUGCACCACUGAAGGUGGAGCUAAAGAAGGUAACCAUGUGUUUUUUUAUUACCAGGGCAUGCUUGUUUGUCUCUUGCAUUCUUGCAUUUUUGUUUUGUUUUGCUUUCAUACAAGAUUUGGGUUAAUGUGUAUUCACUGCAGUUUUUGGGAAUGCAAAAUAGACUGGGUUAUAGGAUGCUCCAGUUGCAAAUUGCUAUCUGAGCAUUUCUUUAAUACAUUUCUGCACUCCACUAGUCCCUUCAAUUGCAUCCCAUUGCCAAUUAUUUUGGGUUGUGUUGUUUUCUGUUUUUCGGAUCUCAGUUUUUUAUCUGUCUCAGAUUUUAUUUAGAACUUGAUUUUUGAAUUGAAGUAACCAUAUCAAGUUACUAUCAUGGAUCAUUAUUUUCUUAUCAUUUGUGCUUUUGUCUUUGUAUAUUAUAUCCAUCUAAUGACACGAUUAUCUUGCUGCCAUUUGCAUCCUUGCUUGGUUAGUUUCAGUUGUUCCAUGGUCCAUGCUUGUAACAUUUGGCCUUUUGUUGCAACUAGUGUUGGAGUUGUACCAAUGAUUGUUUGCUUACUCCUUAGUACCUGCACUCUGCAGGUUUUUACCAUGUCACUCUUUGAAAUUUGGCAACAAAACUUGCAUUAUGGAAUACUAUUAGGGUCUCACCAUUUAGAUGCACGAGUGAUAUUAUAGUAUUCCCUGGUGGAGCUACUGUUUGUGCCAGAUUAUGUUGGACAACACUAUUGUUUACCAAUGUUAAAAGGCCACGUCAUGACAAUCUUUAUUCUUCUUUUGUCAAGAUCUCUUCUGUUGAAUCUCCUCGUGACCAAAACUCAGUUAAGAGGUUAUACUUGGGAAGAUUUUUCAGGGAAGCCUGCUAAUGCUAUCGAGAUCCUUGUUAUUGUAUUCAUCCUAGUUAACUCUACAUGAACGGCUCUGUGUUUAAAGUCCUGUAGAAGUUUACUUUUGCAUUUUCCAAUGGGUGCACUACCAUUGGAUUCAGAUGAUAUUAUUUGACAAUUUCUGCCUCCUAUGUGGCUGCUUUGGUCUUUUAGUGAUCUUGUUCUUGAUAUAUCUGGCAGGACUGUUAUCCAAGUGAAAUUGCAUUGGCCUUGAUGUUGUUACUUUGAUGCAGAUACCCACAACAAGAGCGAAAUCUCCCAAGCUAGGUAGAAAGAAGAGCCCAUCCCCCGCGGACUCUGAAGGAAAUAAUAGCCAGAGCAAUCGAUCAGGUCGUCUAAGUUUGGAUGAGAAAAUAUCUUCUAAGAUUCCUAUCAGAGGACUUUCUCCUGCCCAUCCAAAGAAACCGCAGAGGAAAUCCCUCCCCAAACUGCCUUCUGAAAAGAUCAACUUAUAUGCAAAUGAUGAAAAAGGCAAAUUGCCUAAAGCAUCAAAUGAGGAAAAUACCACAUUAUCUGAUCAAACAAAUGAAGGUGUAUCUGCUAACCAAGAGCAGGAAGCUGUUUCGAAGAACGAGGCAAGUGAAUUUCUGCCCCCAAAAGAGGAGGUGGUGGUUCAAGAGGAAGCUGCCACGUUGAUGAAAGGUCCCAUAGCUUUGGCAGUUUGACCAAAAAAAAACUGGAAUAGAAUGCUGUAUGAAAAGCCCUCAAAUCCAUGUGCGUAAAUAAAAAAAAAGGUGGAAGACCGGGAUUAUUGGACAAUGAAGGCGUGAAGGAUUUUGCAUGAUAGAUUGUGAUGUUGUGUUUGUCCCUAGUCAGCAGCAUUGAUUGUUGUGUGCAUGAUUUCAGGUUGCUGGUCUUUUCGUUAGGGUUCUACAUUCUUGCAGUAUCGUAUGUUGUCACUUGCAAAAGUUAUUCUAGUUUUACAUGUUAUUUCUUAUUUGCCUGCUGUAUUGAAAAUAUUUAGCAAAAUUU
rnacentral:lncRNA from 1 species